GAACGCUGGCGGCGUGCUUAACACAUGCAAGUCGAACGGAAAGGCCCUGCUUUUGUGGGGUGCUCGAGUGGCGAACGGGUGAGUAACACGUGAGUAACCUGCCCUUGACUUUGGGAUAACUUCAGGAAACUGGGGCUAAUACCGGAUAGGAGCUCCUGCUGCAUGGUGGGGGUUGGAAAGUUUCGGCGGUUGGGGAUGGACUCGCGGCUUAUCAGCUUGUUGGUGGGGUAGUGGCUUACCAAGGCUUUGACGGGUAGCCGGCCUGAGAGGGUGACCGGCCACAUUGGGACUGAGAUACGGCCCAGACUCCUACGGGAGGCAGCAGUGGGGAAUAUUGCACAAUGGGCGGAAGCCUGAUGCAGCAACGCCGCGUGCGGGAUGACGGCCUUCGGGUUGUAAACCGCUUUCGCCUGUGACGAAGCGUGAGUGACGGUAAUGGGUAAAGAAGCACCGGCUAACUACGUG
rnacentral:rRNA from 1 species